rnacentral:lncRNA from 1 species
AGUUUAACCAAACUCCCCCUAUCAAUAUGCCAUUAAUCGAACACUUGGAUUAUCCCAAAUCCAAGUAACAUUCAUCACAUGUUAUGAAAAACAUUUAAACUAUCAUGCAAAUAUAAAAUAUUCAAUUCAAUGCAUGAAGUCAUCAAUAUACUUCUCCCCCUAUGUCAUCAACAAAAAGGAGAAGUAGCUCUAGCUAUUUUAAAAUAUAUUCAAGUUUUUA